GUGAGUGUUGUUCUUCCCCGUAGGCGGAUGUUUGCCUGAGCGAGGUCUGUUUAGACUCAUCCUGCCUCUGUCUAUUCACUCCUGUGUUCCUUCCUCCCCUUCAAAACCUCCCUCCCCUUUCGAGUAUCCCUCAGCCACUCCUAAGAGUCUCUCUGGGCAGUAACACCCUGUUCUCCUUGGGAUAUCCUCCCAGAGCCAGGAUUUCACUUCCUGAGCCUGCUUUGGUCAUCCCUACCCAGAAUCCAUUGCUUCAAUGUGGUUGAUCUCAGCUUAGGAAAACAAUCUAAAUAAACUAAUAUUCAUUAAAAAAAAAAAUACUCUUCACCUGGUUACUAUGGUUACCAGGCCGCAGGAAGCCUCACAAUUCAGGCAGGCUAUUUAAGACUCAUCAUGCUGUUCGCCCAGAUCCUAAAUGUAAAUGAUAAAAGCUACCCGUGGGUUAAUGGCAUUUGGCAUAAUUUGGACAAGGUUUAGGGAUUUGGCCCAGUGGUAAAGUGUUUGCCUAGUGGGGAGGCCUUGGGUUUGAUGUCCAACACUCCUUACUGCUGUUACAACUGCUUCUGCUAAUUAUAAAGACAGAGCUCUCGGUGUGGGCUAGGCGCUCAACAGGUGUUAGCAGUAACCUUGUGACAAGACCACAAAGCUGACAUUAGCUGAGUUGCCAGCGUCUCCAUCAGCAGCGAGGUGAUCUGAGACUAGGGGACGACGGUAACUCUCUCUUGCUUCCUUAACAUGGACCUCACAGCUGGUUCUCCAUAUUUAUCACUGUCACUAUUUUGGUCAACUGUGUGUGCAUGACCCGAACUGAUCUUCCAGAGAAACUCGAGUGAGUAACAUUGCCACCAUUCCUGUGCCUUCUCCCUCUUGGAAACCUUUUCUUCUCCUUUCUGUAGACCCUGCCAGCUUUCAUUUAGACAAGUCUGAAUUCUGUUGCCUCUCUGACUUUGCAAUGGUCAGGUUUCUUCUCUGUACCUUUCCCCCAAGUUCAUGCAUGAUUUUAAACUUCAAGGCAGUGUAGAUUAGUGGUUAUCAACCUUAACUCCACUUUGGAACUUUAAGAAGGUCUUUUAAAACUCAGAUGCCUAAAGGGACUGAUUUCAUUCAACUCCAAUGCCCUGGGCAAGUCCUUACAGAAAAGUAUGUAGAGCACCUAAAAUAUCCAACAUAACCUAGAGAGAAUCUGUUAGCAUUAGAGCUGGCUCAGCAGAGCCUCUCCCACAGGGCUGGAGCUCAGUUCCUGACACGCACACUGGGCAGCUGGCAACUGUCUGUGUGUGCGCACACAUGCGCGUGAGUGUGGCUGCCCACAGAGGCCAGCUCCCGUGGAUCCAACACCCUCUUCUGGCCUCCAUGGGCACCCAUGCUCACAUGCGUGUGAACACACACACACAUAACAGACACACAUGUACACACAUACAUAAUUACAAAAAUAGAUUUUUAAAAUCUACUGGAAUUAAUAAUACUAUAUACAUCAAGAUAGCUGUGUGAAUUAAUAUACAUUAAUCAGCUAUGUAUGUUUGUAGCAGUCACAAGCUGGAAAUAAAAUAAAUUUUGAAGUAUCCUUUAUACUGGCAUUUCAAAAUAUCAAGCUCCUAGGG
rnacentral:lncRNA from 1 species